AGCUGAAAAAGGAGAAAGGGUCACUGAG
rnacentral:piRNA from 1 species